AAGUUGUUGCGGUUAAAAGCUCGUAGUUCGAGCUCAGUUCCGGACUGGCCGGGGAGGUCACCGCCCGGUGCUUCCCCGUCAGGCUCCGAACAGCCUUCGUGAGCGGAGGCCAAGCCGGUUCUGCCGGGGUGCUCUUUACCGAGUGUCCCGCGCGGCCGGCCAGUUCACCUUGAAUAAAUGAGAGUGCUCAAAGCAGGCUACUCUCGAAUACAAUGCCCGAAUGUUACCUGCAUGGAAUGAUGGAAGAUGAUCUCGGUUCCAUUUUAUUGGUGGUGGGAGCCCGAGGUAAUGAUAAACAGGGACUGUCGGGGGCAUCCGUACUACGACGCGAGAGGUGAAAUUCAGUGACCGUCGUAGGACGAACAACAGCGAAAGCAUUUGCCAAGAAUGUCUUCGUUGAUCAAGAACGAAAGUUAGAGGAUCGAAGGCGAUCAGAUACCGCCCUAGUUCUAACCCUAAACGAUGCUGACUAGCAAUUCGCCGUCGUUAUUCCCAUGACGUGGCGAGACGCCCCCGGGAAACCUCAAGUCUUUGAGUUCCGGGGGUAGUAUGGUUGCAAAACUGAAACUUAAAGGAAUUGACGGAAGGGCACCACCAGGAGUGGAGCCUGCGGCUUAAUUUGACUCAACACGGGAAACCUCACCAGGCCCGGACACCAGAAGGAUUGACAGAUUAAGAGCUCUUUCUCGAUUUGGUGGGUGGUGGUGCAUGGCCGUUCUUAGUUGGUGGAGUGAUUUGUCUGGUUAAUUCCGGUAACGAACGAGACUCUGGCCUACUAAAUAGUCGACGGGCGUUUUGGUGCAUGGGCCCCGUUCGACACAGUCUUCUUAGAGGGAUGAGCAGCGAGUAUAGCUGCAGGAGAUUGAGCAAUAACAGGUCUGUGAUGCCCUUAGAUGUCCUGGGCCGCACGCGCGCUACACUGAAUGGGUUAGCGGGUUGUCCUUCUCCGAGAGGAGCGGGAAAUCGCUUGAAAACCAUUCGUGAUAGGGAUUGGGGCUUGCAAUUGUUUCCCAUGAACGAGGAAUUCCCAGUAAGCGCAAGUCAUCAGCUUGCGUUGAUUAAGUCCCUGCCCUUUGUACACACCGCCCGUCGCUACUACCGAUUGAAUGAUUUAGUGAGGCCUUCGGACUGGCGGUCUUGGACUGGGGCGCCGGCGUUCCAGCAAUGGGCACCGGCGACCCGCCUAGACGGGCCGGAAAGAUGUCCAAACUUGAUCAUUUAGAGGAAGUAAAAGUCGUAACAAGGUUUCC
rnacentral:rRNA from 1 species